UCUGAUCCACUGCACGCAGAUAGACAUGCAACAGCUGAUGGAGAAUGCCGUGUACACCUUUAAAUUGCUCCUCCAGAGCUCACUGAAAGACAACACUUCCAAACUCACCUCAGCCAUGGAGAAAGCAAAGCUCAGAGUCCUCAAGCAAUAUGACCAUGACAGUAGCACGGUGAGGAAGAGGAUCUUUCAGAAGGCUCUGGUUGACAUCGCACUUCCUGCUAUCAGGAGGA